AACGAACGCUGGCGGCAUGCCUAACACAUGCAAGUCGAACGAGAUCUUCGGGUCUAGUGGCGCACGGGUGCGUAACGCGUGGGAAUCUGCCCUUUGGUUCGGAAUAACAGUUGGAAACGACUGCUAAUACCGGAUGAUGACGAAAGUCCAAAGAUUUAUCGCCAGAGGAUGAGCCCGCGUAGGAUUAGCUAGUUGGUGUGGUAAAGGCGCACCAAGGCGACGAUCCUUAGUUGGUCUGAGAGGAUGAUCAGCCACACUGGGACUGAGACACAGCCCAGACUCCUACGGGAGGCAGCAGUGGGGAAUAUUGGACAAUGGGCGAAAGCCUGAUCCAGCAAUGCCGCGUGAGUGAUGAAGGCCUUAGGGUUGUAAAGCUCUUUUACCCGGGAUGAUAAUGACAGUACCGGGAGAAUAAGCUCCGGCUAACUCCGUGCCAGCAGCCGCCGUAA
rnacentral:rRNA from 1 species